UUUACUGCCUGCCAAAGAGAGCAGAGUGUAGGGGAAACACAGUUAAAGCACUUCCUAGAUACUGAUCUGAUGUGCAUUGGGAAAAGUCAGAUGCAAAAUAUUUCCUACCCUAAUCAAGCCAGGAGAACCUUGCUCCAUUCCCUGUUCCCUGGGGUUUUAGGGGCCUGCCCUUUUCUGAACACUUGAAAAGUAAAAUGAAGGACAAGGAGUGAGAAAAGAAAUCAUUUCAAUCUUGCUUUCCUAGGUCUUUUAGGGUUUAUCUCUACUGAGUCAUUGCCCUAAUCUUUGUCUUGCGACUAUCCCAUUUCCUGGAAAUCUUGGGCUUUGCAGCUGGUGACCUUGAAAUUCUUUUAAUGAGAGAAGCAUAGAUUCUAAUCCAAACUGAUCAUUAUUUGGAUCAUAGAUAUACUCUCCACGUGGAGAAGUUUUUAGUUUGUAGACAACAGCCAGAGACUAACUUACUGAACCGAGCUUCAGGCGGGCACCUAGUUUUCCUGGGAAGAAUAAAGUCAGUCUGCAAAAUAGCAGAGGAAGAGAUAGUUGGGGCAGCUGAGUGUGUAGAAAACAGGAGUGGAAAUUUCCACUGGGACUUUCCUGGAUCACUUGGUGUACAGUGUGUCAGAAAAAUCUCUGUUUUUCUUCCUUAAACUCAUCAAGAUACUCUAUGUUGAUCACUGCUGCUUGUAGGUGACUAGUUUUGGAGGUUGCAGAGCUCCAAGGUGGGGAGGACACCUUUUUGAUUUUGUGUCUUCAUGUUGUCUCCUUGUCAUAGACAUUGACUACAGUCAGGAUGUGGGGUUUGACACACUUCACUCGAUCCUCCCCUUUGCAGAGAGGAGUUUUUGGAAGCUAUUUAUUUUAUCUAGAAAAGAUUAUGUGGCCCAAAUAUAUUAUUUAUAAGUUAUGAGGUAAAUUGGAAGCUGCAAAUAUUCUAGUCAGAAGUGAAGCAUCUAUCCGAUGUUAAUUGCGGGUAACAUGUUCAGGAAUCUCUUCAUUUAAUUCGUCUUCAUGGUAUUAUGUAAAGAUGCUGAACUGGGGUCAGAAGCCUUGGAUUCUAGCUGUGGCUCCACCUCUAACUUGCUCUGGAACCUUGGGCAAGUCACUACACAUCUCCGUGCCUCUAUCUCUUUAUCGUACAAAUGGGAGGCUGAGGAAAAAGAUCCAGUUGGCAUUUUGUAGGUCACUAGGCAUCAUAUAAAGCACUUCACACAUAUCACCUGGUUCAUUCUGUUAGGGAACUGCUGGCCAUUAGACAAGAGCCCAUGCUUGGGCCCUGGAAGGGGUCCCCCUUCCUGCAACAAUUCCAUAGAGAUUUUUGGUUGCCUACAACGUAGUGAGGCCUGUCUGCGAGCAGCAAUAGAUUGAAAGGGGAAAAAUGGAGUAUGAUCUUUAUAACUUGGGGCAGGAAGGAUGAAUUCUGAGAUGUGCAGAGGGAGGGAUGGAAACUGGAAGAGGGGGCUCCAGAGUUAGAAUCCUGCCUCACAAGAUCCUAACAUUCUCCCCAUCAGACUAAGUAUGGAAAACAGGUCACACUGUGUGUUUGUAUAUGUAUACAUGUCCAAAAAUGUAUUCUCAUGUUAUAUAGUGUGAUCUGCUUUUCAGUUACUAUUAGUCAUUGAAAUAGUACCAGUAUUUGCACUUACAGUAAAGCAUAUACACAUGAGUCUUCAUUUACCAGUAAAUUUGUUGUUGGGUUGUCUUGUUGCCUGCUUUGUACCAGUAUUCACGGGUAAGGAUAUAUGAGUAUAUUUCCUUUUAGCCAUUCAAUUUCAUACUUAUUUUCCCCUGAAUUAGUAGACAAUUAAUGUAUAUUUAGAACUUAUGAUUUCCUACAGGACGCCUGUACAGUGUACCCUAUGUUUUCAUAAAAGAACAAGUUUUUUCUAUAAAAUAACAUUAAGUCUAUCUUUUUGAUGAGAAGACCUAUAGAUUUUUUAUUUUUAAAAAAUGUUCUUGUAAAACUGGGAUGUGUUUACAAAUAUGCUAUGCUUGAAUAAGAAUGCAUUGACUAUACCUCAGUACCUUCCAAAAUAUGCUGAAUUGAACUUCCAUUUGGAUAUACAGGGAGGAAAGCCCAUCCCUACAGGGGUCAUAUUCCAAUAUUUUGUACCUUCUGAAAGUCCUAAUUUUGACAUUAAUAUCCUUACACGUCACACCGCAACAAUGGAGGCCCGUCUCUUUUCUUUCACUCAAGCAAAAGUAUCCAGUUAUAACCUGCAUUCGUGUUAGAGGCUUUUAAUCUUCAUGUGGUGACUCUGUGUCUUACUGUCACACUGACCACCUGGAUGAAUUUAAAAAUUCCCACCUCACAAAGAUGUGUACCACUAAACAUCAAUCCACAGACCUGACGGAAAAUUCCUCUGUAAUUGUCUGGCUCCUGCUGGUCCUUGCUUUGCUGUUCCUCUUACCAUGGGUUGCAGAGUUCUGAAGUCGCUCAGGGUGUGGCCCUCAGGUUCCAUCUUGUACUCUUCUUAGUAUGAGUAAGUAAUGUCGGUAGUAUGGUCCUAAUGUUACCUAGGUCAGCUGUACUUUGUGUCUCCUCCCCCAAAUCUUCAUUAGCCCAUGUUUAAAUGAUUGCUGCUGGUCUCUGCCUUCAGCUCAGCUCAACCAAGUGAAAAAGCUUCCGGGACUCCUGGUGGGCAUUGGGUUAGACUGCUCAAAAGACCCCCAACUCUCUUCCUAUUAGGGAGAAAGACCCCUAGUCUCUUGUCUUUCUUUCUGUUGUAUCUGUUUUCUUUUCUGAAAACUAUCAUGAAAACAGUACAAAAACUUUCUCCUAAAAAUAAAUAAUAUCUAUAAGGUACAUUAUCUUAAUUUUGAAAUUGAUUUGAUUCUUCAGUGGAAAACUGAAAACGCAGACUAUCAGAGGUGAUGUACAUGGAUUAUCUGCUGAUGUUCUCAGUGUGUUCAGAGUUGCUUGCCGAUGGAGACAGAAUUUUUAAGGUUGGACAGAAAAAGAACAAUCAUUGGUGGAAUUAAAAUAAAAGUUUCUAUAUUUGUCCUGGGAAAAUAAUAGCAACAGAACCUGAAUCCAGCCCAGAGCCUGCAGUAGAUUCUAUAGCUGUUGUUCUGGUCUUUUCUGGGAAGCUUUCUCAUUCUCCAUCUUCUGGGUAUAUCUCUACGACAUGAGGUUGGUUGGGGGGGCAUAUGUCCCACUUAAAACUGACUAGUUUGUCCUUGGUGUUGAUAAUGUGAACCUUGGGGAAAGAUAUGAUCCCUUUCCUCUGGAGUUUCUAGGCUUAGGUUAUCAAGGGUCCUAACACAUGGAGAAUUCUGGCCCGCCUACAACAGGAGAGAAGGAGACCAGUCAACAUUCAAGGAGAACCAGGAGAAAGAGAGGCAGAGAGAGACACCUGCUGGCACAGAGUCCCCGGUCCCAGAGUCCUAGUUCCUAAAGCCCCUACUUCAUUUUGUGAUUUAUCUCCAGAUCCUUCCCAAUUUUGUAAGCCACCAAGUUCUCUCUUUGCUUAAGCUAGUUUGCAGUGGGUUUCUGUCACUUGCAACCCAGAGAGUGCUGACUACUGCAGUGCUCAUUACACAGUAGGGGACCAAUGCUUCUGUGAAAAAUGGCUGAGAAUAGUGGAAGGGGAAAGUGAUAGUUUUAUCAUGUUGUGAUUAACAAGGAGGUUGGAAUUAUGCUAAAUUCCUCAGAUUAGUGUGCAGUUUUGAAAAAAGAGGAGGCAGCUACACAUAUGUCCCUGGGAAUGCCAUGUUGACUUCUAAUCACUGUGCCUUUAACACUUGAUGACAUUUCUGUCUCCCCCCACUAGGCACAAAGUCUCUCUAAGGCCAAGUUUGAAUGUUGCUACCUCUGAGUUUCCAGAGUUUAGCACAACUAAGAAUAUAGUAGACUCAGUUGAGGACGGAAAGAAUUAAAAAGAAAAGAAGAAAGGCGGGAGGAAAGGUAGGAUGGAAGGCAGGAGGAAGGAAGGAAGGAAGGAAGGGAGGGAGGGAGGGAGGGAGGGAGGAAGGAGGCUGUUGGAACAGCUUUCAGCAACCCUAACCUUACUUUGCUAUUAUGCUUAAGCAAACUGCAUAAUAUUGUUUAUGUUUUACCUGCAAUGUCUCAUUUGGAAUUUUUAUUUUUUAGUUUUGGGUUAGUUACUUCUUACGAGGUAUUAAAUUGCAAUCUUUCUCAUUUGAGGUUUAACUUUGUUCUUUGCACAAUAUCUAAUCUUUUUGCAUUUCUCUAUCUUUAAUGGUCUCUAAAAAAGAAUCUCAGUUUAGUAGCAGCAGAAUAUUUCGCUUUUAAAAACUACUUCUUUUCCCUCUGUAAUUAAGGAAAAUGUUCAAAGAAGGAGGGCUGAAUACCAACUCCCUUCUAAAUAAACCUCCUAAUUUAUCUAAUAGGAGGACAUACACUCCCUCAUUUGAAUUGGCAGUCUAAUCAAAGAAGAGCCAGGCUUGACUCCCAUCCAGGAUGGGUUUGGUCAGUCCUGCUGGGUUAGCAUCAGACCUGAGAGCUCUGAAGUGUAAAUUCAUCAAUUGCCAGUUCCUGGUCUAGCACACCGACUUGGUUUUCCAUCAUUUAGUUGCCAGGAUGAAGCCAGGCUCUAAGAGGGCUACUGUUUUAUAGGAGAGACAGCCGAGUUAAGGAGAGGAGUAGAAAACAAGGAAUUUCUUCUAGAUUCAUUCAGCUCAACUGAGUCAUUUAAAUGAUAUUCAAUUCACACUUUUACUAAGCCAUUCCUACAUGCCAGGCUUCCUGCCAAGUGCGAGGGUUAGAAGAGGAAUAAAACAGUAUCUGCCCUUUGUUACUCUCAGGGUAGUGGAGGAAGGAGAGCGAAGAUAGAUUAAUGAUCUAUGAAUAAAACAAUCACUGCCUGUUUAUCUAUUUCUGUGCUCCUGCAUCAUGUCAAAACCCCCAGAUAUAAGGUAUGUUUGGACAUUAGACUGAAAAUAUAGGUCAUAUGCAUUUAACACUGCUUCUUAAAGGCAAGCCUAUUACAUGGAACAGAGAGGAGAAAAAAUGGGUUUUGGCAUCAGACAGACCUGAAUAAAUGUAAGAAAAGGUGAAAGUUAGUAAAUCAAUAGAACUGUAAAAAAUUAACUCUGAAAGAAAUGCAUUGUUGUUUGAAUUACUAGAAAGUUCCAUAAACACAUUAAAAAAAAAAGACAGGUAUACAAAUCAACAGUGAAAUUAAUAGCAACCUGUUAUGGAGAAACAAAGAGGUUAUUCCUACCUCUUUAUAACCUCUAAUAUAACCUUUGCUUCUUUCUUAGGCACGCUGACAGAGUCUCUAUGCUUUGCUAUGUUUGAAGCCUAACUUUCUAUGAAAUGAGCUUGGAAGACUUCAGCCCCUUUAGAGUUCUCCCUUCUCUAACUUUUGCUCUGUGAUGCAGGAUGACCAGCCCCUCGUGGUGGAACUAUUAUUUCCCUCUACUUUCCUGUUUCUGUGCACAAGAUAGGAAGGUCUCCCCUCUCCAAAGUGUUGGGAGGAAACUCUCUGUGCUCUCCCCACUCUCGCAUCCCCACUGGCUCCUUCCCAAAAGAGAAGGAAGACUGCUUGAUUAGAGAGUCAACUGGAGCCCAAGAUCCAUUGGUCCAAAUUCUUUGCUGGGCAGAGUAACCGGUGGCCUCUAGCUGUCCCUUCUCAGCUCUCUCCCGAGAGCCUGCUCACUGGCCCCGUGGGUUCUCCAUGGCAGUCCACGUGGUGAACUCAUUGGGGCCCUUCUCUGGAUGGGGGGACAGAACUCUUGGGAGAUGGAGCCGGAAGCCCAAUUGGUCUUGUGUCCAAGCAGCAUUCUGCUGUCCAGCUUUAUCCUUAGUUGCAGCUGAAACCUGCAUCCCUCUCUGAUUCCUGUGCAUUUCCCAAUUACUUCAGAACUUCUAAAGGACACAUAUAAGAUUAAUCUUAAUUGGCUCCCUCAAGAUCCUACUCUCCAUAGUAAUUACUCUUCUAUUUUCUAAUUUUAACCCUAUUUUUUUGCUUCAUUAUAUCAGUGUUUCUUGCUGAAAUGGUUGGAUGGAUGAAGAGAUAAGGUGAUGGAUUAUUACACGUGCAUAAGACGAUAUUGUCUGGAUCACUAAUUAUAUCAUGUAUCUUUGUCAUAUAAGCAAGUAGAUGAUAAAUCCCGCAUGGACUAGGACUUCGGUUUAUGCUUGUUUUGUAAACCUACUCCCAGGGUCACAUUUCUGCACAAAGUAGUCACUCAUUACUAUUUGUCUGUAAUAGCAAUAUUUUAUAGAAAUUCAUUUAAAAAAAGUGCAAACAGAUACAUCACCUCAAUACUCACAAAAAUUGUAUGAGGUAGAGAUGAUGAAGAUUUUUCAAUUAAGGAAACAGCUCCAGAGUGGUCAAGGGAGCUUCCCGAAGCACAACCCAGUAGGACACCCAACUGCUCAGAUUCUCUGACUUGGGCCUGUGUCUUCCCUGUUCAACACGCCUCUCUAUAGCUAUAUAGAAUGAUCUUAUAUCCCC